rnacentral:SRP_RNA from 1 species
GCCGGGCAUGGUGGCUCACGCCUGUAAUCCUAACACUUUGGGAGGCCGAGAUAGAAGGAUCACUUGAGCCCAGGAGUUCGAGACCAGCCUGGGCAACAUAGUGAGACCCUGUCUCUU